GCCUUGACUCAAUUGGUUAGAGCGUGGUGCUGAUAAUGCCAAGGUUGCAGGUUUGAUCCCCAUAAGGGACA